GUUAGAGAUGUUGAUAUGGCUCAAUCUGAUAUAUUUUUAAUUUUAUUUAAAUAUAAAAAAAUAAAAGUAGAGUUGGUAAUUUUUUUCAAUCUAAUAGAUAUUCGAUUCGAAUGGAAUGGAUUUUAUCCAAUUUAAUUAAAAAAUAAAAUAAAUAUAAAUUUAAAAUAAAUAUUUAAAAUAAAUUUAAAUCGGAUACGAAUAAUAAUAUAU
rnacentral:lncRNA from 1 species